rnacentral:rRNA from 1 species
GAGACAGCAGCCGCCGCGGUAAUACGAAGGGUGCAAGCGUUACUCGGAAUUACUGGGCGUAAAGCGUGCGUAGGUGUGGUUUAAGUCCGUUGUGAAAGCCCUGGGCUCAACCUGGGAAUUGCAGUAGAUACUGGGUCACUAGAGUGUGGUAGAGGAUAGUGGAAUUUCCGGUGUAGCAGUGAAAUGCGUAGAGAUCGGAAGGAACAUCUGUGGCGAAGGCGACUAUCUGGGCCAACACUGACACUGAGGCACGAAAGCGUGGGGAGCAAACAGGAUUAGAUACCCCGGUAGUCCCUGUCUCUUAUACA